rnacentral:pre_miRNA from 1 species
AACUGCCCUCAAGGAGCUUACAAUCUAGCUGGGGGUAAAUGACUUGCACAUGAACACAACUAGACUGUGAGCUUCUAGAGGGCAGGG